GGAUUAGAUACCCUGGUAGUCCGCACAGUAAACGAUGGAUGCCCGCUGUUGGUACCUGGUAUCAGCGGCUAAGCGAAAGCAUUAAGCAUCCCACCUGGGGAGUACGCCGGCAACGGUGAAACUCAAAGGAAUUGACGGGGGCCCGCACAAGCGGAGGAACAUGUGGUUUAAUUCGAUGAUACGCGAGGAACCUUACCCGGGCUUGAAUUGCAGAGGAAGGAUUUAGAGAUAAUGACGCCCUUCGGGGUCUCUGUGAAGGUGCUGCAUGGUUGUCGUCAGCUCGUGCUG
rnacentral:rRNA from 1 species